AUACAGAAAGCCCUCUGUCCUUACGAUAAAGGCAGAAGAUCUAAUUGAGCUGAUUAACACAAGCUGCCUGCGGACUGUUAAACUGAAAGACACACACUGUAACACACGUCCACUGGAGCUUCAGGAGCUGUAAACACUCAACUCUAGACGCUGCCGUGGGGUGGGGCCAGAGCCCACGCUCCCCACGACCUGCCCGUCUGCAUGCUCCCCUAGCGGUUUGAGCUGCUGCAGCAGAGCACCGAAGAAGCAAGCCACACCCCACCACAAACCCUGUGAGGGGGAUAAGGGAACUUUUCCUGUUUCAACUGGGACUACGCCCAGGAUUUCGGAAGAUUUCUUCAACUGAAAGAGCUGCCCUCCUGUUCCAAAACCUGCAGAGACAGGAUUAGACAUCCUGUAUGUCCAACCAACGGGUACUGUGAUGCCAGAACUGCUGAAGUUAAGUGCAGAUGUUAUUUGAGCUGCCAAGCUUGCACUAAGAUUUCUGAAGGUUUAUUUAUUUUUCCAAAUCCAAAUGUGGACUUGCUGGUACUUUUUCUGCCAGUAACUGAGUGGAAUGUGUACCAAACUAAGCCCUAGAAACAGCUGAAACCCUGCUACCAGCUGAGGCUGCUAAGUGUUGGGGUGAAGGCGGCUUCAUUUGCAUGUUGCUGAAAAGGGUGGGUCUGGUCAUAACUGCAUGCAUUCUGCCACCUCUUGGCUUCUGUUUUCUGCCUUCAAACACAUUUAUAGCAUUUCCCAACGUUUUUCUGUGCUGAAGACAUUGUUCUUUGAAUACCUUUACCUGUUUAAUAAUGGACCAAGGUC
rnacentral:lncRNA from 1 species